rnacentral:lncRNA from 1 species
ACAGGGCUCCACAAGGACAUGAAUACCAGGUGGCAGGGAUCACUGGGCCAUCUCUCUAAAUCACGAAUGAAACAUUUGCAACCUGUGUCUCCCAAACAUGAUAUGUCUCAAUCAUCAAAGGAUCUACAGUGACUACAAUAACCAAGUGCUACAAAAACGCUGUGACGAGGAAUCUGAACAACAGAGAUUUGAGGGAAACAAAACACUUUCGACGAAGGUCCUGCUGCUUGUCUUCAGCUUGGUACCAAUUAGAGCUUCACUGGAGGUGAAAAGAAAAUACUUCAUGUCUUGCUGUCUGAAGCUCCAGAGGGGAUGGAGGAGCAGAGGAAACCUUGGUGUCUUCCAACUGGUAAGAAGUAGUUGAAGCUGAGCUGAACAUGUCAUCUGUUCUUAAAUUUAUCAAUUAGGGUA